GUAGGGGGCGAGCGUUGUCCGGAAUUAUUGGGCGUAAAGCGCGCGCAGGCGGUCCCUUAAGUCUGAUGUGAAAGCCCACGGCUCAACCGUGGAGGGUCAUUGGAAACUGGGGGACUUGAGUGCAGAAGAGGAGAGCGGAAUUCCACGUGUAGCGGUGAAAUGCGUAGAGAUGUGGAGGAACACCAGUGGCGAAGGCGGCUCUCUGGUCUGUAACUGACGCUGAGGCGCGAAAGCGUGGGGAGCAAACAGGAUUAGAUACCCUGGUAGUCCACGCCGUAAACGAUGAGUGCUAAGUGUUAGAGGGGUUUUACCCUUUAGUGCUGUAGCUAACGCGUUAAGCACUCCGCCUGGGGAGUACGGCCGCAAGGCUG
rnacentral:rRNA from 1 species